UUUUUUUUUUUUUUUUCAUUUCAUCUUGGAAAGGUUACUGUGGUAUUAAUGGUAGUUUGUAUCAUGCCCAGUAAUCUCUAGGAUAUUUGGUGAAGCAGUAAUGCUAAUCUGGUAUGGUAGAUGGGUGUGGGGUAUAUUUAUAUAUUGGGUUUUGACUUUUGAUGGCAGAAAGAAAUGGUUUUGCCCUUAUGAAAUUUAUGAUAUUCCAUUUUAGACAAUGGUUCUUUGCUAAGAUGAAAUUGCGUUUGUGAACACUUUUGGUCUGCAUUUAAGGUCCUAAUGGUUCUUGAAUGGUUUCUAGUGCAAUAAAUAUGUAUACAUUUCUCAAUAUGUAAGCUCUCUUAUUUUGAGCAAUGAACAUUUCGCACAUUAUAUUAUUGAUUGGAUCAAAGUUUAGAGG
rnacentral:misc_RNA from 1 species